GAGGGUAUAGCUCAGUGGUAGAACACAGUGCUUAGCAUGCACAAGGCCCUGGGUUCAAUCCUGGUACCUCCG
rnacentral:tRNA from 1 species